rnacentral:rRNA from 1 species
CCUACGUGCGGCAGCAGUGAGGAAUAUUGGUCAAUGGUCGAGAGCCUGAACCAGCCAAGUAGCGUGAAGGAUGACUGCCCUAUGGGUUGUAAACUUCUUUUAUAUGGGAAUAAAAUGUGCCACGUGUGGCCUUUUGUAUGUACCUUAUGAAUAAGGAUCGGCUAACUCCGUGCCAGCAGCCGCGGUAAUACGGAGGAUCCGAGCGUUAUCCGGAUUUAUUGGGUUUAAAGGGAGCGUAGGUGGGUUGUUAAGUCAGUUGUGAAAGUUUGGGGCUCAACCGUAAAAUUGCAGUUGAAACUGGCAGUCUUGAGUGCAGGAGAGGUAGGCGGAAUUCGUGGUGUAGCGGUGAAAUGCUUAGAUAUCACGAAGAACUCCGAUUGCGAAGGCAGCUUACUGGACUGCAACUGACACUGAGGCUCGAAAGUGUGGGUAUCAAACAGGAUUAGAUACCCGGGUAGUC